rnacentral:misc_RNA from 1 species
GAUGAAGAACGCAGCGAAAUGCGAUAAGUAAUGUGAAUUGCAGAAUUCAGUGAAUCAUCGAAUCUUUGAACGCACCUUGCGCCCUUUGGCUAUUCUGAAGGGCAUGCCUGUUUGAGUAUCAUGAACACCUCAACUCUCAUGGUUUGCCAUGAUGAGCUUGGACUUUGGGGGUCUUGCUGGCCUACGGUCAGCUCCUCUCAAAUGAAUCAGCUUGCCAGUGUUUGGUAGAGUCGCAGGUGUGAUAACUAUCUACGCUUGUGGUUUUCUGCCAGAUAACCUUCAGUGAUGGAGGUUCGCUUGAGCUUAUAAAUGUCUCUCCCCAGUGAGGACAGCUUUUUGAACGUUUGAUCUCAAAUCAGGUAGGACUACCCGCUGAACUUAAGCAUAUCAAUAAGCGGAGGA